rnacentral:lncRNA from 10 species
GCAGGUGAGGUAUCACCUGGAGUUCUUCGUCUCAUGACCAAGAAAAUUAAGGAGCGUGGAUGCAAAGGAUGAAGUUGCAGCGAAAGUUUAAUAAGCAAAAGAAGAAAGCUCUCCACAGUGGAGAGGGGACCUGGAGGAGGGUUGCUGCUUUUACAGGGGGUGACCUUUAUCUUCAUGGCCCAGUGUGACUGCAAGAGCUCUAGCAUCCAAGUUCCCAGCAGAAGGAUGGAGGACUGGCUGGAAAAACAAGGAGACACAGGGUAUGCAUCAGAGUCCCCUCUUGUUGCCCAGGCUGGAGUGCAGCAGCAUGAUUACAGCUCACAUCAGCCUCGACCUCCCGGGCUCAAGCUAUCCUCCUACCUCAGCCUCCCAAGUAGCUGGGACUAUAGGAUCUUUCUGCUGAUGCAGCUGUUAAGAGUGUUUCAUAAACUGUGACAACACUAAGCAAAAUCAUAGAAGGAAACUCUAUGGACAAUUUCAGAUGGAGAAGAAGAAAGGACUGGAAGUUCAAUUUGGCCAUGACAAUUAGAGGCCAGGUGCAGUGCAUGUAAUCCCAGCACUUUGGGAGACUGAGAUGGGAAGAUCGCUUGAGGCCAGGAGUGCAAGACCAGCCUGGGCAAC